rnacentral:rRNA from 1 species
UACGUAAGUGGCGAGCGUUAUCCGGAAUUACUGGGCGUAAAGGGCGCGUAGGCGGUUUGCUAAGUUGAAUGUGAAAACUCUGGGCUUAACCCAGAGCCUGCAUUCAAUACUGGCAGGCUAGAGUUCUGGAGGGGAUAGCGGAAUUCCUGAUGUAGCGGUGAAAUGCGUAGAUAUCAGGAGGAACACCGGUGGCGAAGGCGGCUAUCUGGACAGAGUCUGACGCUGAGGCGCGAAAGCUAGGGGAGCAAACAGG